ensembl:lncRNA
CACUGAUUGAGCACCUGGGUAAAGGACCCAACUCAGCCCUGGGUGCACAGGUGAAGGCAAUUCAGCAGUGUGACUGGAAGGGGUGGAGCCUGGCUGCACCUCUCUUAGACCCCAUUUAAGGGCUGACUGCCACUGGGGAAGUAUCUUUCUCUAGAGAUCCCUCUUUAGUGAAGCUUUCCUCUGCAAAUCUGGACUCUUCUGAUAUGGGAAAGGCUGACACCAAGUGAGCUGUGUCCUUGCAUCAUCUUAUUUUUGCUUUAAUAGUCGUGACUCCACCUCAGAAUAUUCCUGCAGCUUCAGGUCAGCUCGCAGGGAGCUGUUGGGUCUCUUCUCCAUGAAACAGAGCUGGAAAGGUGUUUCUGUGCUGAAAACUAUGUCUUGGGUUAACUGCAGUUAAAGAGGAAGAAAGUUGCCAGGAGGAAUGACAUCAUGCACAUCUGUAUAUAGCUGCAAGAGGAAGGUGAAGGUCGGGGAGGAAGGCUCACACCUCCGCACUGGUGGGCUGACACCAGGCACCCACCUCCACCAGACGUGGCUGGAAAGCUGUGCCUGCAUGGAAACUCCUGGUGGGUCAGACCAUAAAUCAUAAAUCAAUUUGUUCAAAAAUUAGGCUUAGUGUUCUGUGGUUUGCUUCGGUUUUUAAGCCAGCCCUCCCUUUUCCCUUCCUUCUCCCACUCUCCAACAAAAAUCCAGGAGGUGGUUCUGAGUCGCCCAGACCAAAUGCAAACAGCCAGAACAACAAAAAAGUGAGGAUUACAGCAGCUGGAUUUACUCUUUUCUGACUUUUUUCCUUUUAAUUAUAUUUUUUUUUUAAGAAAAAAAAUCUAUAUCCAAAUAUGUUUUCGAGUUGAAACAAAGUCAGGAUCUACUGUAUGUCUGUGUGCCCUCAAGUCUGUAGGAGCAGCUCCUCACCAGUUGCACCCAGCUGGAGGAUGGGAGCCUGGCAGGCUACCACCUUCCCUUCCCAGCAGCCAUGGGAGCCCAUGGAAAGCAGAGCAUAAAUUCAAACCAUUUAAAGAGUGAUUAAGACUUCUCCUGAUUACUGCUCUGCAUGGUAUUGAAUGGUUUGGAUGGUGGUGAUUUAUUGAAGUAAUAUAUAAUAUGCUCCGUUCGGUUAACGGUCCCCAUCAAGCACAAUCCAGAUGAAUAAAAAAGUAAAAAGAGGGAGAGAGUGUGCUGUAAGAGGAAAUCUCCUUGGAUUUAAGAGAAAUUGAAAUAUGUACAUGGUAAUCUGUGUCCAAAGCUUUUAGCACUUCAGAAAGUGCCAGUUGCUAAUACCUCUGGCUAAAGGCAGCGUUACGUGGAUGGCUGAUGAUCCCAGGGCCUUCCUCCUUCCCUCCACCACUGACACCUGGCUCCUCCACCUGGCCUACCCUGCGGCAGAUGCUGGGUUUUUUGUUAAUAUCUGUUUUAUUCCAUGAUGCAGGAUCAGGUUCUUCAAGGAUGGGCAUAGCCACCUGUAGUGGAAAUGCUGAGUCUUGGCUUAAACCAGUGAUUGAGCACCUGGUAGGAAGGCAGGCCACACCAGGGGAGCUCAUUACAUGCACCUGAGUGACCAGAAGUGGUGAAGCCAGGAUCCACCCCUUCCCAGACCUCAUUUCAGGGUUGGCAGUGGAGGUGAGGGUAUCUCACUAGAGAUCCCUGCCUAUCAGAAGCCUUUUAAAGGUAAGCUGUCUUUUUUCCUUUAUUUCUACGUCCAGAGGUGCUGCAUUUGGGUUUAUUCUUAUUUGCUGCAGCCUAGGAUUGUGCCACCCCGUUCCUAUUGCUGUACUUUCCAUCACAUUAUAGUAUAUCAGCAUUACACCAGCUCCCCAUCAGCCCCACAGCAGCUGGGCAGGUGAAAAUACUGGGAACUGCAACCUGAAGAGGAAAAAGCUGGAGCUGGAGAUAUAGAAAGGAAAAAAAAAAAACAGCAGUGUAAGCACUCAGCCUAGCUCCAACACUUUUAACACUUCAGCUUUAAUAGUAAAGUAGCUCUUACUUAUGUUAGGCGGAGGUUUAUUUAUUUUCAUAUAUGGCAUUUGAUGUAUUAUCACGCCUUUAGGAUCUGAGUCAAUGAGAUACCUCCACAGUGGGCUAAUUUUAAGGCAUCAUCUCCAAUUAACACUGAUCUCAAUCACAAGCUUUCCAAUAUAAGGUAGCUGGGUUAGAAAUGAUAAGAUUAUUAAUCAAAUGUUUCAUCUCAAGUUUGCUUUUAAGGAUCCGUGCCUCCAAGUGGGUUUUGUAUUCCCCUGAAGGCAUGAGAAUUGGAAAUAACUUUUACAAGCCAGCAACAAGGAGAGCAGAUACUCUACCCCAAGUACCCCUGCUCCACAACUCUGGGCUUUUGUGAAACCUGGACAAGAUACCCAGAAAUUACAAAAGCUUUUGAACUUUUCCAGCUCACUAAAAAGAGCACAGAUGGGGAUUGUUUUCAUUUUCUCAGUUUCUAAAAUUAGUGAAAUUAGAUUCAAUUCCAAACCUGAUAAGCACUCUUCUUCAGCUCUGAUGUUUUUUCAUGACUGUUGUAGAGUUGCUGUUCUUUAAGAAGGCAGGAAAUUGAAUUGUGGUUGGUAUGUGAUGGACAUAGGUGUGCCUGUGCAUUUCUCUUGUUUGCACUGAGCAAAUGUUCAGCAAACAAGGAAAUGUUCUUUCCUUUCUUGGCUCAACCAAAGAGCUCAUGUCUCCAGUCAUUCUUUAUCCCUUUAAUGCCAUGCAGAUGUCCUCCACGUUGGCUGAAGGGACACACAACCCUUUGUGUAGUGCUUGGAGCAUAGACUGAGUUUGUGGAGAUGCAGAGUUGGGCUUUUGAGCUCUAGCAUAUCUCAAGUAGAACCACAGCAUCAUUAAGGUUGGAAAAGGCCUCUAAGAACAGCUAGUUCAACCAUCUACCUGUCACCCAUGUUGCCCACUAAACCACUUCCAUCAGUGCCACAUCUCCAUGGUUCUUAAACACCUCCAGGGACAGUGACUUCACCACCUCGCUGGGCAGCCUGUGCCAAUGCAUCACCACUCUACUGGAAAAGAUUUUCCUAAUAUCCAACCUGAAAAGUACACACUGACAAAAAUUUUUUACACACACACACACAUAUUCCCUGUAAUUGUUAGCUUGGCUCCAUGUAAGUAUAUUUUGAUAGGAGCAGUCAAAUGCUUGGCCAUCAGCUCAGGGCAGGCACAUGCCAGCUGUAGAGGUCUUGCUCCAAGGCCCAGAGGCCCUAGUGCUUCUCUGGAAAAUGUCUGUCAGAAUAUUUUAGCCUGGGCUUCACAUUUUCCCUUAAUCUCACUCUCAGAAAUGACGACACCAUUUUAGCUGUAGCUUUCCAAAUCAAAUUCAGCCUGAUGCACGGAAAAAACCUGCACUGACAGUCACAAGCCUGGCAGAGCUGUAGACUGCAGGGUCUCCCGUGAGGAAGACUGGGACAGUGAUAUAGAAUCAUAGAAUGGUCGGGUUGGAAAUGACCUUGAACCCCUUGCCAUGGGCUGGUUGUCACCCACCAGUUCAGGCUGCCCAGGGCCCCAUCCAACCCAGCCUUGAGCACCUCCAGAGAUGAGGAAUCCCGAGCCUGUCUGGGCAGCCUGUGCCAUCACCCCCUCAGUGAAAAUUUCCCCCUGACAUCUAUGGUGGCAGCCCCAACACUGCAGAAGAGCUACACGCGCCUCCUGAAAGCCAGAGAAGCUUCAUUGGCCCAGAGCCCUCACACCACGAACCUCAGUGCUGCAGGUGCAAAACUACCACUACUUUUCAGCACAAUAACACAAAAGAAUGCAUAUGCAAGAAACUGCCUUUUUGUUGUUUUUUUUUUUUCCUACAGUUUGAUUAUCCGUCAUGAUAAGACAUUACUUAAAGCAGCGGUGACACUGUCUAAUCAUUCUUGUGAAAUAUAGAGUUCUCUCUCUACUUCAGACAGAGCCGACAUUAAUACACAUUUAUGCAAAGCAGAGCUGGAGCUGUCAGGGGCUAAUCUUUACAAGUAUGAUAAAUGAUGUUUAUUUUCAGUGAUGGAACGAAACACCCGGGCUGACAAUAAUUGUAAUAAAAAGG